GAAAUUUACAUUGCGACAUUUCCAUAGAUAAAACUGCUGGCAUCGAGUUUUUUAUAUUUCUAAAACGGAUUUGAAAUUCGAUGCAUUUGAUUUUAUUUCGAUAUUAUAAAAAGUGAUACAAGACCUUUUGGACAUGGUUGUUUUGUUGUACGCAUCUAGCGUCAUGAGUCUUCGCUUGAGUUUCUUCUGUUUCGCGUUUAACUUGUGUUUUCUCUAUACGUCGGUUGCUAGGGUACGUGUUUCGCUCUAAUAUGGAAGCGUGUUCUCGUAGAAUUCUAUGUUUUUUCAUACCAAGUUGUCUGCGAAUACGUUGCUUGAAUUCUUUGUAGUGCAUUGCACGGAACAUGAGGUUAUUUCGGCUAACCACAGUGCUCGAGAACGUUCAGCCUUUUGCGUCGCGAAGACCUCCUCUCACGUGUGACAUGUGUAUAAUGACAGGCGCCGUCAAAUGUGUGUUUAUAUACAGUCGAUGUAACCUCUCAGCCAAGAUCGACUUUAUUUGAGAUGAGAAGUAGUAUGCCUCUACCUCGCGACUCCAGAACGACUAGCCGCUCUGGAGAGACCUGACGUUAGUUGCGAUCGA